AGGUAAGGGCAACGGAACAGGGGACGUUGGAUCGGACACAAGGACAUGGUUAAGUGCUGCUCUCU
rnacentral:sRNA from 1 species